GGACCUUUUAAGCUAGCCCUGCGAGGCUAGUAAGGGGAAUAAUUGAUGUCAGUCGCUAGCUUUACCUGAUACCUUCUUGCCUCAGCGAGGAGGUUUCUUUUUU
rfam:Latescibacteria bacterium DG_63 WOR1_52_54_1, whole genome shotgun sequence.